GGAAUGAAAACCGUCACCAGCAUUCUGCCUGGUGAAUUUUGAAUCAAAGCAAAGGAGAGGCUGAGAGAGCAGAUUAUCUUCAUGUGCCCGGCCAUCAACCUAGCCAUUUCCAUGUCUCGACUGUGUUUCUUUUUGACCAGGACCAUUUUGAAUGGACUCUCAUGUCACAAAGACCAGGUCAUCUUCUCUCAUGUGGAGUGAAAUGGUCCACGGUGAUGUCUGAACUGGUAUGCCGCAAAGUGUCAACAUCAGAGUCUUUCUAUGUUGGGAAAGUCUCUCCUUUAUUUGGACAAAGGGGAUGUCUCCUGUUCUUCCUAAUGACAGUUUUGGCUGACUAGUGAGGAUCACAUUAAUACAUAAAGUAUCCUGUGGAACAGAAAUUUGAUGAUAUGAUUUGAAAUCUCUGUAUCACCCUCAAACAGCUUCCAGAAAGAUCGCUACCAUGUCUAAAAAAAUCUUUACUGAGCUAUUAUUUAGAAGUGUUCCAGAAAAAAAUUACUAAACUUAGCUGAGGCUUAUUAUCACUUGUGAUAGCACCGUGACAUAGUUUAACAGAACUGAACAUUCUACUAUCAUAAAAAAAUUUAUGUGAUCAACAUUUUCUUAUCUCAUCUAGCCUAGCAUAGUGGCCUGAGGAAAUGGGUCCUGAUAUAGUAAUGAGAUGGGAUAUGGAUUAGAUUUUUCUAAGUUAGGUUUCUAUUCUGGGUAAAGUAAGCUGCAGGGCUUUGUGUGUGUAUGUCUAAGCACAGGGCUUUGAUUUAUGAGUAAGAAGGAAUUAAAAACAGGAGAUAAAAAAUGAUGUUAUAUGCCCUCAAAUGUAUGGAUUAAAAAAAGGCACUAACCAAAAACUCUACGUAGGUUCAUCACAUUUUUGUCCUGGACUGUUCUUUUGGAUGAGGAGCAGGCUUACUCCUGACAUCUAUGGGGCUGGGUAAGAGUCAAAUUUAAGCCCCAGUUUCACAUACCUAUUUGUGUAAAAGCUA